rnacentral:sRNA from 1 species
GGGGGUCACCACCCGUCAGCGAAGAUUCGCCCACGGGUGAUUUUU